GACGAACGCUGGCGGCGUGCCUAAUACAUGCAAGUAGGACGCAGUUGCGAACGGGUGAGUAACGCGUAGGUAACUACCUAUUAGAGGGGGAUAACUAUUGGAAACGAUAGCUAAUACCGCAUACUAGUAGAUGGACCUGCGUUGUAUUAGCUAGUAGGUAGGGUAAUGGCCUACCUAGGCAACGAUACAUAGCCGAGCUUGGGGGGUGUACGGCCCAACGUGGAAUGGGACACGGGCCAGACUCCCUCGGGAGGCAGCAGUAGGGGAUCUUCGGCCAUUGGGGGAACCCUUACCGAGCAACGCCGCGUGAGUGAAGAAGGUUUUCGGAGCGUAAAGCUCUGUUGUUAAGGAAGCGUUACUUAACCAGAAAGGGACGGCUAACUACGUGCCAGCAGCCGCGGUAAUAC
rnacentral:rRNA from 1 species